rnacentral:rRNA from 1 species
AUUGAACGCUGGCGGCAGGCCUAACACAUGCAAGUCGAGCGGUAGAGAGAAGCUUGCUUCUCUUGAGAGCGGCGGACGGGUGAGUAAUGCCUAGGAAUCUGCCUGGUAGUGGGGGAUAACGUUCGGAAACGGACGCUAAUACCGCAUACGUCCUACGGGAGAAAGCAGGGGACCUUCGGGCCUUGCGCUAUCAGAUGAGCCUAGGUCGGAUUAGCUAGUUGGUGAGGUAAUGGCUCACCAAGGCGACGAUCCAUAACUGGUCUGAGAGGAUGAUCAGUCACACCGGAACUGAGACACGGUCCAGACUCCUACGGGAGGCAGCAGUGGGGAAUAUUGGACAAUGGGCGAAAGCCUGAUCCAGCCAUGCCGCGUGUGUGAAGAAGGUCUUCGGAUUGUAAAGCACUUUAAGUUGGGAGGAAGGGCAGUUACCUAAUACGUGAUUGUUUGACGUUACGACAGAAUAAGCAACCGGCUAACUCUGUGCCAGCAGCCGCGG